UGGGGAAUAUUGCACAAUGGGGGAAACCCUGAUGCAGCGACGCCGCGUGAACGAAGAAGGUAUUCGUAUCGUAAAGUUCUGUCCUAUGGGAAGAUAAUGACAGUACCAUAGAAGAAAGCUCCGGCUAAAUACGUGCCAGCAGCCGCGGUAAUACGUAUGGAGCGAGCGUUGUCCGGAAUUAUUGGGCGUAAAGGGUACGCAGGCGGUUUAAUAAGUCGAAUGUUAAAGAUCGGGGCUCAACCCCGCAAAGCAUUGGAAACUGAUAAACUUGAGUAGUGAAGAGGAAAGUGGAAUUCCUAGUGUAGUGGGGAAAUACGUAGAUAUUAGGAGGGAUACCAGUAGCGAAGGCGAGUUUCUGGACACAAACUGACGCUGAGGUACGAAAGCGUGGGGAGCAAACAGG
rnacentral:rRNA from 1 species